rnacentral:rRNA from 1 species
AUGGAAAGCUGCCGAGAUCGUGGCCGUGCUUGGCUGGCUGCUCUCGCCCGUCAUCACCUUGCUCCUGCCCAAGAUCCUUGUCUGCCUUGGCUUCGACGCAUCCAAGAAGCUCCAGGAGCUGGAGAUCCACAUCAUCCCGGAGCUGAAGAAGACGCUGCAGGCCGUGGAUCAGGUGAGGAUGAUGCAGAGAGGAGAGAGGGUGAAAACCGAUUUGGAUGCGCUGGACAAGAUGGCCGCCAUGCUCAGGCAUGCUCUGGAGGACGCCGAAGACAUCUUCGACGAUGCUCAGCACAAAGGUCGUGCUCGGGUGCUGGCAUCGCCUCUGUGGCGCUUUCGCCACCUGCAUUGCCCACUGCAAAAGCAGCUGCAUCUGGAUUGCAUGCAUCGUCGGUCCCAACGAAAUCAGCUCGGCUGCUGCAGUGUGCACGGGACAUCUCCUUGUUCCGUCUAGGCAGAUCAGUGAAUAUCGGUGCCGUGAUCUCAAACGAGUCCGUUCCUGUGAUUAUUGAUAUUCCAGCCUCUGACAUUGAGCCUGAUCCGGUGAGUACCGGUGCUGAAGCCUCUGGCACUGAGAUCGUUCUGGUGACUACCGGUGCCACGGCCUCCGACGAGCCUGAUCCGGUGACUACCGGUGCUGAGGCCUCUGGCAAUGAGACAUUUUCAUAUUUCUCAGGGCGGUGGCUCUCUUGCUUGUGCAGCUCGUUCGACUUGUUCAAGAACUGUUGUGCAUCACUAUACAACUGGUGGUUAGUUCAUGUGUUUCAGGCUGCCUGCUUUUACAGAGACUGGUCAUAUCAAGUGAUUGGCAUCAAAAAAUGCCCGGAGAAUGCCUCCUUAUUUGAUAUGUUAGAUAUAUUCUCUACUGCUAUCUCAAUAGGGGAACUGAAGAAAAGAAUACAUAAGGUAGAAAACACCGUCAGUGAAGUGAAGAAGGCACCACUCUUGUGCGUGGCAAGCAACAGCACACAAAGUGAUAUUGCCAACAAGAACAGGAGAAGACUAGGAGCUGCUAGCAAGCGGGAGGUAUUUGGUCGAGAGGUGUUGCGUGAUGACAUCAUGGCAAGGCUGCGUGAGACACCACAGGUUGAUGAACCUAGCUCUAGUCCAUGUUACUCUGUGAUUGGCAUAUAUGGUGUUGCAGGGUCUGGGAAGACUACCUUUGCAGGAUAUGUUCGAGAUUACAUAAAGGAGGAAUGCAAGGAGGAGAAACUUUUCGACACCAUCAUGUGUAUUCAUGUGUCAGAGACUUUCAGUGUGGAGGAUAUAUUUCAAGAAAUGCUGCAGGAUAUUAGCGAAGAUAGUCUCUCCAGUAUUUCAGAUCAUAGGGGACUAAACAAAAAGUUGAAGGAAGCAUUGCGUGGCAAACGUUUCUUGUUGAUAUUGGAUGAUCUCUGGGUGAAAAACAAGAAUGACCAACAACUGGAGGAACUAAUCUCUCCACUCAAUGUUGGGUUGAAAGGAAGCAAAAUCCUGGUGACGGCUCGAACAAAAGAAGCAGCUGGAGCUCUGUGUGCCGAUAAACUUAUUGAAAUGCCUGAUUUGGAUGAGGAUCAGUACUUGGCGAUGUUUAUGCAUUAUGCACUAAGUUGUAAAAGUAUUGCCCUUAAAGAAUUUGAACAAGUUGGGAGAGAGAUUGCCAAAAAGCUACACCGAUCACCUAUUGCAGCAGUAACAGUUGCAGGACGGCUUGGGGCAAACCCAAAUAUCAGUUUUUGGAAAAAUGUUGCAAAGCUUGACAUGUUGAAUGACACCAUGGAUGCUCUCUGGUGGAGCUAUAAGCAGCUUAAUCCAGACAUAAUGCGAUGCUUUGAAUUCUGCAAUAUUUUCCCCAGAAGAUUCAAAUUGGAUAAACACGACUUAGUUGGCUUGUGGAUAGCGCAAGGAUUUGUAAAGACUAGUUGUCCAACAGAAGACAUGGAAGAUGUAGCUGAGGGCUACAUUCAAGAGUUGGUUUCAUGCUCAUUUCUGCGACCAGAUGAUUACUCUGAAGAAUGCUUUGCAAUUCAUGAUCUGCUGCAUGAUUUAUUAGCCAAGGUUGCUGGAAGUGAUUGCUUCAGGAUUGAGAACAUAUGGAGCCACAUAGGAGAAGGCUGGAAGGGAGAAGUCCCUCGAGAUGUCCGCCAUCUUUUUGUUCAGAAUUAUGAUGGGGAAUUGAUUACCAAGAAGAUCCUUGCAUUGGAAAAUUUACGCACCCUCAUCAUCUAUGUUGUUGGAUAUACACCAGUCGAGGAAAAAGUCAUUGAGAGUAUAUGCAAGAGGCUGCCGAAAUUGCGGGUACUAGCAGUUGCUUUCGGGGAGGACUAUUAUGUAAUCAGGAAACCCGAUGGGUUCUCUGUCCCAGAAUCUAUUGCUCAGUUAAAGCACCUACGCUAUCUUGCUUUAAGGACACAUAGUUCAUGCGCUGUAACUUUACCAAGCGCACUACCGAAGCUUCACCAUAUCCAGCUGCUAGAUUUUUACAAGGGCAAAAUACUGGAAUUCCCCUUUGCUGAUCUUGUCAAAUUGAGGCACAUGUUCUGCCGGCCAAACUUGAAAUUCCGUAACUUGGGCAGGCUGAUAUCACUCCAAACGCUACCAUCAUGCUUCACAGUAAGUAAUGAACAAGGGUAUGAGGUGAAGCAGCUGAGGGACGUAAACAAGCUUCGUGGCAGACUGGACAUCUAUGGCCUUGAAAAUGUGAAAAGCAAGGAGGAAGCUCUUGAAGCCAAUCUAGCUGCCAAGGAACGGCUCACAGAACUGUGCUUGGUAUGGUUUGGUGAUGAUGAUACAAGGUGCAGUCCAGAAGUUGAAGCAGAGGUACUUGCGGGCCUGUGCCCUCCCGUGGGGAUUCAAAAGCUUGUAAUACAUGGAUACAGAGGUUCAAGGUACCCAGAUUGGAUGGUGGGUAAGCAGAGCGGUGGCCCAGAUGGCCUGCGAAAUCUUCAACUCCAGCGAUGCAGCCAACUGGGACCUGGUCCUCAAUUUGAGGCUUUCCCUCAUCUUCGUGUGCUCUAUAUUUGGUGCUGCAGCUGGGACUCCUUGCCAGGCAACAUGGAGCACCUCACGUUGCUCGAGAAUCUAAAUAUCGUGGGAUGCAAGAAUAUCCGGUGUCUUCCAGCACUGCCCCAGUCUAUUGAGUGGUUUUCUCUUACUUCCUGCAACGAUGAAUUGAUGGAGUCUUGUAAAACAGCCGGACAUCCAAACUGGCAAAAGAUUGAGCACAUCCCCAGGAAAAGAUUUUCGGUGAUCUAG